GCCAUGCAUGUCUAAGUAUAAGCAACUAUACUGUGAAACUGCGAAUGGCUCAUUAAAUCAGUUAUCGUUUAUUUGAUAGUACCUUUACCUGGAUAACCGUGGUAAUUCUAGAGCUAAUACAUGCUAAAAACCUCGACUUCGGAAGGGGUGUAUUUAUUAGAUAAAAAACCAAUGCCCUUCGGGGCUCCUUGGUGAAUCAUAAUAACUUAACGAAUCGCAUGGCCUUGCGCCGGCGAUGGUUCAUUCAAAUUUCUGCCCUAUCAACUUUCGAUGGUAAGAUAGAGGCUUACCAUGGUCUUAACGGGUAACGGGGAAUUAGGGUUCUAUUCCGGAGAGGGAGCCUGAGAAACGGCUACCACAUCCAAGGAAGGCAGCAGGCGCGCAAAUUACCCAAUCCCGACACGGGGAGGUAGUGACAAUAAAUACUGAUACGGGGCUCUUUUGGGUCUCGUAAUUGGAAUGAGUACAAUCUAAAUCCCUUAACGAGGAACAAUUGGAGGGCAAGUCUGGUGCCAGCAGCCGCGGUAAUUCCAGCUCCAAUAGCGUAUAUUAAAGUUGUUGCCGUUAAAAAGCUCGUAGUUGAACCUUGGGCCUGGCUGACCUGUCCUCCUAAUCGAGCGCACGGGUUCGGUCGGGCCUUUCCUUCUAGGGAACCCCAUGCCCUUCAC
rnacentral:rRNA from 3 species